CUCCGUCCGCGAUAUCGUUUCCACAUUGUGGACGGCGCGGGUUUUAAGAAAAGUGGUGGAUAGUAGUGGAUAUGUAGUGAGUGGAGUUUGGGUCCCACAAUUGUUGUGAGUGGAAGUUUGUGGACCCUACUUCUAUAAAUGGAAGUAGAAACGAUAUCGCGGACGGACCGAAAUGGCAAAUGUGGAAACGAUAUUGCGGAUGGAGGGAGUAAAAGUUUCAAAUCCCUAAUCUAAACAGAGCCCGUAAUUCCUCUUCCGCUUCCCGUAAUUUGUUAAAUCUCACUGAACUAAUCUCCUUCCCCAAUCUAUACGGCGGCGCCGGUGGUGAUAUCUUCCGCCGGAGGGCAAAUCUUCCUUUUUACUUCUCAGCCGUAGGUGGUGAACGCCGAUUGAGUUCGACUUCUCAGCCCAUUGGUGGGCAGCGCUCCGCCGAUUGCUGGCGCAGGUGGAUUCGUCAUUGCAGCGGGAGGCGGAGGAUUCGCCGCUGCGCGAGGAUUGUCAUUGCUUGCCAUGGCUGACAGUUACUUGUUUGGAAUAUAUAUGCAUCAUGGUGGUAAAUUUGUGAAGUUAGGAAAAUCUACAAAGUAUGUUGGGGGUGAGAUCGUUGUUUUAUCAGGAUUUGAUCAUGACAGGUUUGGUUAUUUAGACUUAGAGGAUGAAGUCUUUAAGUUAGGGUAUAAAAGUUGGGCUUGUUUGGAAUUUAAGGUCCCUAGAACACAUGAUUUCAAUCCAGUACUUGAUGAUAGGAAGAACUGAUUGAUUAUUAUCAGAUAUGUUUUUGAUGUACAGACCUUAUGAUAUCUAUUUACUUCUACUGCUUUGGUGUACGAACCUUAUGAAAAUUCAGCAAGUGAAAACUAGCUUGUCUUA